AUGAACGCUGGCGGCGUGCCUAAUACAUGCAGGUCGAGCGAACAGAUGAGGAGCUUGCUCCUCUGACGUUAGCGGCGGACGGGUGAGUAACACGUGGAUAACCUACCUAUAAGACUGGGAUAACUUCGGGAAACCGGAGCUAAUACCGGAUAAUAUAUUGAACCGCAUGGUUCAAUAGUGAAAGACGGUUUUGCUGUCACUUAUAGAUGGAUCCGCGCCGCAUUAGCUAGUUGGUAAGGUAACGGCUUACCAAGGCAACGAUGCGUAGCCGACCUGAGAGGGUGAUCGGCCAAACUGGAACUGAGACACGGUCCAGACUCCUACGGGAGGCAGCAGUAGGGAAUCUUCCGCAAUGGGCGAAAGCCUGACGGAGCAACGCCGCGUGAGUGAUGAAGGUCUUCGGAUCGUAAAACUCUGUUAUUAGGGAAGAACAAAUGUGUAAGUAACUAUGCACGUCUUGACGGUACCUAAUCAGAAAGCCACGGCUAACUACGUG
rnacentral:rRNA from 1 species